AUAAUGACGUUGAAGAAGAGGAGUACGUUUUCGGAGUUCACAGAGAGAAUGGUUCAUUGGCUGAAAGACCAUUUGAAUAGAACGAAAGCAGAAGGUAGCUUCGGAGUCAUGUCUCUGAACAGAUAGUAAGAGACAUCGGUUCAUCUCGUUAUCGAUGCAAGAGGUAAUGUGAUUUUUACAUUGCGAUCAAAGGUGGUACCGCGUAUAAUCGCCCUUUGC
rnacentral:ncRNA from 1 species